rnacentral:sRNA from 1 species
AGUAAUUGUUAUAACACCUUCUUUGGCUUAGCUAAUAGUGUCAAGCAUCAAAGAAAUUUUGCCGAAAUUGGGCGUAAACCUUUUUAAAACAAGUUACCUGAUUGGUCAAAACUAAAGUCCGUAGAUUGACCGCAAUGGUAAGUGACUUUUACAAAGUCACUUUCCAUCUUGCGGCAAUCAAAUAAAGACAGUUUUAUUUUAAUUUACGGAUUUUAUUUUGAUUCAAUCAGGUAAGCUUGAAAUUACUGUUUUAUUCUUUUUAUUAUUUAAGUUGAAUUUCAUAUAAGGUUUUUAUUACUUAUUUUUAAAUUAAGGAUAUUUUUGAAAUAGUUUUUUUUAAUACCUUAAUCCAAUUAAUUAGAUAGUUUUUAAAUUUCUUUCAUGACUUCAAUGUUAAAUUGUUAUUCGCUAAACAUUGCCUGCCUUAAUUAAAUAACUUUGUAAUCUUUUUAAUCUACACUUUAAAUUAUGCUUAUUGCGUAUUAAUUUCUACUUUAAGAUUUAUUCCCUUAAAGAUUUAACUUUUCGGCCAUUUAAACUUUACCGCGCCUUACUAGAUAGAACUCUUCUGCGCGAGGAGAUAAAUAAGUUAGAGUAAACAAAAACGAAAAUAGAAACUUUUUCCGCUAAAUUUACAAAACAAGUUUAAGUCUUUAUUUUAUUACAUUUUUCGAUAUUUUAUUAUUAAUCAACAAUGUUCAGACUUACGAAUCAUGUUUUAGGUAAGCGCUAUGCUCGAUAUUGUUUUGAUUUCUUUUAAUGUCUAUUGUUUAUCUGUUUUAAUUGUGUUUCGGAACUUUUGUUAUCUCUUUGAUUUUAUAACAUGCUUUUAUAAUUUGUGUAUUUCAUUCAUUUUCUUUAUAAGACACUUUCCAUCUUGCGGCAAUUCAAUAAAGACAGUUUU